GAAAGUGAUGGAGCCCGGGGGGGGGGGGGGGGGUCUCAACUGCACGCCGAGGUGCCAUUUUCGCCAAAAGUGAAAUGUGCCUUUAAGCGAGAGCGUGUGUGUGCGCGCGAGGGUGCGUGCGUUUGUGAUUUGUUCUCGGUAAUGGAAUGGAAUGGGACUGAAAUAACCCAGCCUGGGCGGACGGAAUUUGCUAGCGCAGCCCUGCCUUCGCUCAUCCACGAUUAUAGUUAAUUGAUAAUUGCACAGAACGGUAGCUUGAGGGCCUGUAAUUAAAAGCUUAACCUUUUCUUGUUUGGGGGAAGGGGGGAACCUGGGUUGGCGGUUCCUGAUACGCUUUGUAACAUUCAAUUAGGCUUAAGGAAAGAGAAAAAGGAAGUCAAGGCCAGGAUUCCUUUUAAGGACUGAUUCUUGUUUGGUGCCUGGCGGUACCUGAGCUUAUGAUUUGUUUUUGGGGUGCUUCGUCUUUCUCGCACACUCUCCCCUGGUUGAGGUGCGGGGUCUGCUGUGGUCUUUUAAGCACUUCAUGAGAGUUGCAGGGCGUACCAAGCUAUUUGGCUUUUAAGUUUUUAUAUUGGAUGACCCCACAUUCACAGGUUUUGAGGGGAUCUCGUUCUAGCACGGGUCUCUUGGUGAUCUGGUGGGCACUGCUUAGCUAUAAUCUCUUUGCCCCAGUGCUUCUGGGCAUUUGUCAAGGCUGGCCACCAGAUGGGACGUUCGUUAGGAACUUCCUGUCUCCAGGAGAUGGCCAGAAGGGAAAACUUCAGGUCAGGACACACUUUGCUGGGGCCAGAGGAUGUCAGGGUGGUGACUGAUCAGCCUUCAAGGGUUCCAUCCUGUGUGUUGGUGGAGUGUGGCACUGUAGGGCUUUUUGCAUGCUGUCUUGCCCAGCCUGUGCUUGCGCAUUCCGCACGAACUGCAGCAGCCAUACACAUGGGGCGUGUGAAACGGAAUCCAAAUUUGUCGUAGGCCGUUCAGCAGUGAAAACGCACAUAAGGGUUGUUCCCCCCGUGGGCAUGAAGGUAUACAGCCUUCGGGGCACAUGGUCUCCGCUAUCCUCAGAGUUCUGAGAGACCGUCUGAGAGUGAGCUGUGUCACUUUCCAGAGGAAGAGAUGAGUGGAAACGAAAUGGAAAAAGUGCCACGUUAAUAAAUAGUCAUGUGGCUUGUUUCUAAUAGUUUGCUCGGAGAUCAGUGCCUGGGUACCACGACCUAACCACGGGUAUGACAGAGUAGGCUCACGGCUGACACACACGUAUUGUGAUUUCUGUCUCUCCAAGGGGUAUAAAUAAACCGCCGGUGAAUUUAGCUGAGGCUCUCGGCUCCAUCGUGGCACUUUAUUGUUGCUUCAAAAGGAAGCGUAACUCUUGGCUCUACCUCUGAUUGGCUGUGCAGUGUAGGAAAAUCACGGUGCCUCCCUGUGCCUGCCUUCUGCCCUGUAAACUGAAAACAAACCAGUCCACGUAAAGUCAGAGUGCUCUCUGGUCUCAGGGACCAGCUUGCUGCAAAGCAUUGAUGGUUAGAAGAAAACAGCUAUAAGAAGAAAGGAGUUUGACGAAGAGAGAAAAGGGCUGGAUAACCAAGAUGAUGACGUUUUUCACGAGCGGAGACUGGUGUGGUUGAACUAGCUGGUCUCAGAAGGGUUAACACCGCUAGCUCCAGGAGCCUUCGGGGAAAUGCAGAGGCAGCCAUUCACUCCCACAGUCCAUCACAUUCAUUUUUGUUGUUGUUGAGACAACACACAUCGGGCAUCCUUGGCUCGUGGUCCCUGUGUUAUGCGGUGGGCAUAUGGAGAUGCCUCCCCAAGGAACUCAAGGUCUGCUGGGGAAGGCAGAGAAGCAGCAGCUCCGGCAUCCUCGGCACAGCCCAAGGAAUGCUCCAGGACUGCUGGGCACGUGCUGGGAUCCCACCUUCCGGCUCCCCUGUUGGUUGGGCGGGACUGAAAGACGAAUUUUGGCCAAUUAUUUGUGAGAAGUCACAGGGCGCCACUUGGGGACUGGAGCAUUUCAUGGCUUGCAGUGAGACCCCGUCUUUUGUCUGCCGUCUGAUGACCAGAAAUUCUCAAGAUAGGACUGCUUCGUGAACCCGAUCUGUGGAUGACUAUGGAAGUUGGUGAUAUCAGAGGAGGACAUCACUUUGGAAAAUGAGUUGAAAAGAAAGAAAAGAAAGAAAGAAAGAAAAUCGAGAAAGAGGAAUUCCUGAUAUUUUCAGAGGAAGAAAUACCUGAUUGCUGAAAACAGUCCAUAUCCUGAACAGUUUCCUAGAAAUGCAACUGGUUAAUUUUUAUAAGCCAUUCCAUGCAUCAAACAGCAAGUUCUGAUGCUUCCGAUUGCCCAAAGAGUGUCUAAUAACCCCAGCAUUACAUAUGCUCAACAUCAUGUGACCCUGGUUCUGCAAGAAAGAAUAAUCAUGCUGGUCAUACAGUUUAAGAAGACAAAGAAAUGUGUGCUCAUUUUGGAAAACUUAUCAUCUUCUGCAAAUCAGUAAGACAGAGACCCCAAUGGAAAAGGGGCCAAGAUACAAGAUCAAAAUUCACAGAGAGGAAAAAGUACAAAAAGCUAACAAGAAUAUGAAGAGAUGCUCAAAUGCAUUAGUUGCCAGAAAGAUCCACCAUGGAAACACGGCCAGGCCAACUUGCUCAGUGAUGAGAAACAAGACUCAUUUACUCACACCGUCCUGGCCGAUCGCCAGACUGUGCUAGACGCAUGUUACAUCAGCCAGCCUGUGGCCCAAGCACCAGGUGAGCAUGAGACCCUGAGCGAGCCCAGGAGAGAUCAGCUGAGCUGCCCUGCUACCCUAGAUAUGGAACCUGGCAGCAAAGGUUCUUGGCGGGGGGGGGGGGUCUCAUCUGGUGCUGGAGAUGAUUGGCUCCCCCAGUCGGUAAGGAAGGGAUCCUCCUGCCCCAGCACCUAGACCAACCUCUGUUGGAAGAGACGGAGCUUGAGAGGCAUCCUGUCCUCGUGCACAAUCAUGGUGCUAAUCAAAAAUGACCUUUAGGAUGAUCCACUGGCUUUGGAACAACUGCCUGGGACAUUUCCUUCCAGUAUCAGGUAUCUGUCUCCAGCAAACCGGUGCAAGCUGAGUAUCACCAUCUGGUCCUGGAUGCGUUUUGUCAUCAGUGCUGGAAGUGAUGAUACAGUAUGCCGCUGUCAUGUGCCCAGAGGAUGCAGGGACCAGAGAGGACACUCAGAAGAAAUUCUACAGAAUUCUGCAUUUUCUCCAGCGGUGCAAAGAGUGUGUUCACAGUUCCUGAUGACUGGUAGACAUCCCAGGGUGAGAAGUAUCUAUAAGACACAGUCAUGUGCAGUUCACAGCUUGACUCUGGAGAGUGAUCUCUUCCAGGCCCUCUACUACAAGGGUAUUUUCCUUUUCUGUCACUGUCACCCCUCCAACAGCAGAAGUUUCUGGCUCACCCACCGGAGAGGCUAAAGCUUGCCUGGAAUUGCAUUGCUUACAGAACAAAGAGAAGUCAGAGCCUCUUAUGUAACUUGAAGAGUAGGAAAGAUCCAGUGAUAAAAACCAGUGCCCUGAACUUUUGCAAAACACGAUCAAUCGCUGCGUACGAUCCUCCGGUCCUUGGCAAGGCAUCCUUCGUCUGGUUUUUGUAGACUAGGAAAAAAAUUAAUGAACCCACUGCUAUUAGAUUGUAUAUUCAUGCCUAAAGGCUGUAAAAAGGGUACUGUUUCAAGUUAGUCCUAUCAUCUAAAAUACAUCCCCUGUUUGCUUAAGGUUUCUCAGUAAUAUUCUUUAAUUUGAUCGCUACCUGUGAAUUUGUGUAUUUCCUCACACAGAACUGAUUCUCCCUCCCCCCUU